GACGUAGGGCGCGAGCGUUGUCCGGAUUUAUUGGGCGUAAAGAGCGCGCAGGCGGUCGUACAAGUCGCGUGUGAAAGCCCCUGGCUCAACUGGGGAGGGUCACGCGAUACUGUUCGACUCGAAGGCAGGAGAGGGAAGUGGAAUUCCCGGUGUAGUGGUGAAAUGCGUAGAUAUCGGGAGGAACACCAGUGGCGAAGGCGACUUCCUGGCCUGUUCUUGACGCUGAGGCGCGAAAGCUAGGGUAGCAAACGGG
rnacentral:rRNA from 1 species